CCUUACUCCAGAAUAGCGAGCGAUUCUCUCUCCAAAAGAACGGUGAUCGGUGGCGGUUGGUAUCGACGAUUGCGACGAUCGCCGACUGGCGACCGGGGCAGGCACCACCUCCUCUUCGACGGAUGACGAAGAAGAGAUGGAUGACAGCAGACUCUCUAGUUCAUGUUCCAAUUCUGGAAGAAACUCUUAAAGAUGAUUUUUUUUGUCAUAGAUGAUGAAGUUGGCAGAAGGUUAAAUCAGAUGGUACCCAUCCCUUGACUUGAAAAUGGACCAAGGGAUCCAAGUGUCAGGUGGAAGCUUAAAUCGAUGGGCUUCAUAUGAAGAUUCAUAUAUGGGUAACAAAACACUAGCCUGUUUAAAAUCAAUGGAGAAAUUCCUUCUAUUGAUGAAGCCCCUUAUCAUCAAAGGCUACUAGAGAGGGCUUGCUGUAUGAUAUUUUAUCCUUGUCUUCGUAGUUGCUAACUAGUGGGAGGUUUGAUAUAGCAUCCUCUCAAGACAAAGCUCUGUCAUAUUCUAAACAUUAAUUUUUAUUUUUUGUAAUAGUAUUUUUCUCACAUUCAAAACUUUUUUUCUAUUUGAUUUUCAUUUGGAGUU